rnacentral:rRNA from 1 species
CCUACGGGAGGCAGCAGUGAGGAAUAUUGGUCAAUGGACGCGAGUCUGAACCAGCCAAGUAGCGUGAAGGAUGACUGCCCUAUGGGUUGUAAACUUCUUUUAUAUGGGAAUAAAGUGUUCCACGUGUGGGAUUUUGUAUGUAACAUGUGAAUAAGGAUUGGCUAACUCCGUGCCAGCAGCCGCGGUAAUACGGAGGAUCCGAGCGUUAUCCGGAUUUAUUGGGUUUAAAGGGGGCGUAGGUGGAUUGUUAAGUCAGUUGUGAAAGUUGGCGGCUCAACCGUAAAAUUGUAGUUGAAACUGGCGGUCUUGAGUACAGUAGAGGUGUGCGGAAUGCGUGGUGUAGCGGUGAAAUGCUUAGAUAUCACGAAGAACUCCGAUUGCGAAGGCAGCUCACUGGACUGCAACUGACACUGAGGCUCGAAAGUGUGGGUAUCAAACAGGAUUAGAUACCCCUGUAGUC